rnacentral:rRNA from 1 species
AGCGAACGCUGGCGGCAGGCCUAACACAUGCAAGUCGAGCGGCAGCGGGUCCUUCGAGAUGCCGGCGAGCGGCGGACGGGUGAGGAAUGCAUCGGAAUCUGCCCUGUCGUGGGGGAUAACCUAGGGAAACUUAGGCUAAUACCGCAUACGACCCACGGGUGAAAGCGGGGGAUCGCAAGACCUCGCGCGAUAGGAUGAGCCGAUGUCCGAUUAGCUAGUUGGCGGGGUAAAGGCCCACCAAGGCGACGAUCGGUAGCUGGUCUGAGAGGAUGAUCAGCCACACUGGGACUGAGACACGGCCCAGACUCCUACGGGAGGCAGCAGUGGGGAAUAUUGGACAAUGGGCGCAAGCCUGAUCCAGCCAUGCCGCGUGGGUGAAGAAGGCCUUCGGGUUGUAAAGCCCUUUUGUCCGGGAAGAAAUCGUCUGGGCUAAUACCCCGGGCGGAUGACGGUACCGGAAGAAUAAGCACCGGCUAACUUCGUG